GGGAGCGGAGCCGGCUCCCCGGGGUCUCCAGCGGAGCGGCGGAAACAAUGAGGGCGGCGGGAGCGAGCGAGCCAAGUUGGAGCUGGGCAGGAGUUGUGCAGCGAAGCCCCGCGGGAGAGCGGCGCGCUCUGCGCUGGCCUCUGCGAGGGUUCCUUUGGACAGAGCGCUCACAAUGGGAGAGAGGGGCUUGUUCUUUAAUUUUUUGUUUUGGUGAAUUUCAAUUAUGGGUCUGCUUGCCAGACAAAAGCAUCCCGUACAAAGGGCAUUUGGAAAGGAAAUCGUGUUAUUUGACUGGGAAUCUACAAGAACCCAGAGCUUCCAUCCUUAGCUAGGGAAUCACUCCGGCCUCAGUUUCCUGCCUUGUAAGGACACCCUGUCAAAGAAACUAUGCAGAAGGUGUGAAAUAGAAGUGGGCCGCAGAUUACGUCCUCCCUUCCCGAACUUGAGACUCAGUCAGUUAGCAAGGGCAGUAGUAUGCGUAGGGGAGCUUAGAUAGGGGCCCAAAGGGACACCCUGGGAGACCGUGACAACUGGGGAACACCCACAUCUCAUUGUAGGGCAGGGCACACCCUCAGGCCUGGAAUCCACGCAGCCAAAACCACAACUGAAUCAUAACUUCGUAGCCUUCCUACACACACCGCAGGGGAAGGCUCGGCUGGAUGCCUACCAAGGACGCCCAGGAGCCGGCACUGGUCACCCCGUCUCUGCCCAGACCCCACGGGGUGGCCUGGGCAGCAUCUGCACAACACAGUCCUUCGCUACAGCUGUUCACGGAGCCCCCCUCCCGCUGUCUUCCAGUUUACGAAAGCUUCUGACGGCACUCAGUCUUUCCAUGGAGACAUUCCUUCCCGAGAGAAAAUGUGCGUGCCACAUGCUAUGACGUCCAGGUGCCGGGCAAUCUUCUGUGUCCUCAGUGUUGAUAUUCUGCAGGGGAAAUAUAAAAGGAAGAGAUGGUCCAUAAGCAUCUCCAAGGCUGCCACGAGUUGAGCAGCUUUCCUUUGCCAUGC